rnacentral:rRNA from 1 species
AUUGAACGCUGGCGGCAGGCCUAACACAUGCAAGUCGAGCGGAUGAAGGGAGCUUGCUCCUGGAUUCAGCGGCGGACGGGUGAGUAAUGCCUAGGAAUCUGCCUGGUAGUGGGGGAUAACGUCCGGAAACGGGCGCUAAUACCGCAUACGUCCUGAGGGAGAAAGUGGGGGAUCUUCGGACCUCACGCUAUCAGAUGAGCCUAGGUCGGAUUAGCUAGUUGGUGGGGUAAAGGCCUACCAAGGCGACGAUCCGUAACUGGUCUGAGAGGAUGAUCAGUCACACUGGAACUGAGACACGGUCCAGACUCCUACGGGAGGCAGCAGUGGGGAAUAUUGGACAAUGGGCGAAAGCCUGAUCCAGCCAUGCCGCGUGUGUGAAGAAAGUCUUCGGAUUGUAAAGCACUUUAAGUUGGGAAGAAGGGCAGUAAGUUAAUACCUUGCUGUUUUGACGUUACCAACAGAAUAAGCACCGGCUAACUUCGUG